CACGUAGGGGGCCAGCGUUGUCCGGAAUUACUGGGCGUAAAGAGCGCGUAGGCUGUUUGGUAAGCGGAGGGUGAAAUUCCGGGGCUUAACCCCGGAGCUGCUCUCCGAACUGUCAGACUAGAGUUUGGGAGAGGGUAGUGGAAUUCCUGGUGUAGCGGUGGAAUGCGUAAAUAUCAGGAAGAACACCUGUGGCGAAGGCUGCUACCUGGAACAAUACUGACGCUGAGGCGCGAAAGCUAGGGGAGCGAACGGGAUUAGAUACCCCGGUAGUCCUAGCCGUAAACGAUGGACACUAGGUGUUGGGAGCAUCGACCCUCCCAGUGCUGUUCUGCUAACGCGUUAAGUGUCCCGCCUGGGGAGUACGGCCGCAAGGUUGAAACUCAAAGGAAUUGACGGGGGCCCGCACAAGCGGUGGAGCAUGCGGGUUAAUAGGAUGAUACGCCAAGAACCUUACCAGGGCUUGAAAUGACACGGACCGCCUGAGAAAUCAGGUUUCCUGGGCAACCAGGCCGUGCCACAGAUGGUGCAUGGUUGUCGUCAGCUCGUGCCGUGAGGUGUUGGGUUAAGUCCCGCAACGAGCGCAACCCUCGCCAGAUGUUGCCAUCGGGUCAUGCCGGGCACUCUUCUGGGACUGCCUGAGUAAUCAGGAGGAAGGAGAGGAUGACGUCAAAUCUGCAUGCCUCUUACGUCCUGGGCUGCACGCGUGCUACAAUGGCGGGUACAAAGGGUAGCCAAACCGCGAGGUGGAGCCAAUCCCACAAAACCCGUCCCAGUUCGGAUCGGAUGUCUGCAACUCGACUCCGUGAAGGCGGAAUCGCUAGUAACCGUGGAUCAGCAACGCCACGGUGAAUACGUUCCCGGGCCUUGUACACACCGCCCGUCAAGUCAUGAAAGCUGGCAGCACCCGAAGUCCGUUGCGACGGCCGAAGGUGAGGCCAGUGAUUGGGACU
rnacentral:rRNA from 1 species